UGGGGAAUUUUGGACAAUGGGGGAAACCCCGAUCCAGCCAUCCCGCGUGUGCGAUGAAGGCCUUCGGGUUGUAAAGCACUUUUGGCAGGAAAGAAACGUCGCGGGUUAAUACCCCGCGAAACUGACGGUACCUGCAGAAUAAGCACCGGCUAACUACGUGCCAGCAGCCGCGGUAAUACGUAGGGUGCAAGCGUUAAUCGGAAUUACUGGGCGUAAAGCGUGCGCAGGCGGUUCGGAAAGAAAGAUGUGAAAUCCCAGAGCUUAACUUUGGAACUGCAUUUUUAACUACCGGGCUAGAGUGUGUCAGAGGGAGGUGGAAUUCCGCGUGUAGCAGUGAAAUGCGUAGAUAUGCGGAGGAACACCGAUGGCGAAGGCAGCCUCCUGGGAUAACACUGACGCUCAUGCACGAAAGCGUGGGGAGCAAAACAGGAUUAGAUACCCUGGUAGUCCACGCCCUAAACGAUGUCAACUAGCUGUUGGGGGCCUUCGGGCCUUGGUAGCGCAGCUAACGCGUGAAGUUGACCGCCUGGGGAGUACGGUCGCAAGAUU
rnacentral:rRNA from 1 species